UCCGAGGUAGCUCAGCGGUAGAGCAGGGGACUGUUAAUCCCUUGGUCGUGGGUUCGAUCCCCACCCUCGGAGCCA
rnacentral:tRNA from 1 species